rnacentral:siRNA from 1 species
GGGCUGGGUUGGGCUGGAAAACC